UGGCCAGCAACUCCUUUCCCUACCUCUUCAUGGUACUGGCCGGGAUACGAGCAACCUAAGGAAAGAUCGGAUAACCAACUCCGGUGAGAACUUUGGUCGUAUGCUGAUAAUAAGGG
rnacentral:ribozyme from 1 species